rnacentral:piRNA from 1 species
UAUGCUAACUGAGGCACAACGCCAACUCCA